rnacentral:rRNA from 1 species
AUACGUAGGGGGCGAGCGUUGUCCGGAAUGAUUGGGCGUAAAGGGCGCGUAGGCGGCGCGGUAAGUCUGGAGUGAAAGUCCUGCUUUCAAGGUGGGAAUUGCUUUGGAUACUGCCGCGCUUGAGUGCAGGAGAGGUUAUCGGAAUUCCCGGUGUAGCGGUGAACUGCGUAGAGAUCGGGAGGAACACCAGUGGCGAAGGCGGGUAACUGGACUGCAACUGACGCUGAGGCGCGAAAGUGUGGGGAGCAAACAGGAUUAGAUACCCUGGUAGUCCACACUGUAAACGAUGAAUGCUAGGUGUAAGAGGUAUCGACCCCUUUUGUGCCGGAGUCAACACAAUAAGCAUUCCGCCUGGGGAGUACGGCCGCAAGGUUGAAACUCAAAGGAAUUGACGGGG